rnacentral:misc_RNA from 1 species
GUAGGUGAACCUGCGGAAGGAUCAUUAUUGAAUAAAUCUGGCGUAGGUUGUAGCUGGCUCUCCGGAGCAUGUGCACACCUCGUCACCUUUAUCUUUCCACCUGUGCACACACUGUAGUCCUGGAUACCUCUCGCUGAAAGGCGGAUGCGGAGGCUGCUGUUGCCUUUAAAAUGGCUCAGCUUCCUCUGAAUUUCCAGGUCUAUGCCCUUUUAAAACACCCCAAACGAAUGUUACAGAAUGUAAUCAACGGGCCUUUGUGCCUAUAAACCUAAUACAACUUUCAACAACGGAUCUCUUGGCUCUC